GCACUCUAUUUGAUUUUCUUCGGAAAUGAAGAUUUUGUGACUGAGUGGCGGACGGGUGAGUAACGCGUGGGUAACCUGCCUCAUACAGGGGGAUAACAGUUGGAAACGACUGCUAAUACCGCAUAAGCGCACAGGAUUGCAUGAUCCGGUGUGAAAAACUCCGGUGGUAUGGGAUGGACCCGCGUCUGAUUAGCCAGUUGGCAGGGUAACGGCCUACCAAAGCGACGAUCAGUAGCCGACCUGAGAGGGUGACCGGCCACAUUGGGACUGAGACACGGCCCAAACUCCUACGGGAGGCAGCAGUGGGGAAUAUUGCACAAUGGGGGAAACCCUGAUGCAGCGACGCCGCGUGAGCGAAGAAGUAUUUCGGUAUGUAAAGCUCUAUCAGCAGGGAAGAAGAAUGACGGUACCUGACUAAGAAGCACCGGCUAAAUACGUGCCAGCAGCCGCGGUAAUACGUAUGGUGCAAGCGUUAUCCGGAUUUACUGGGUGUAAAGGGAGCGCAGGCGGUGCGGCAAGUCUGAUGUGAAAGCCCGGGGCUCAACCCCGGUACUGCAUUGGAAACUGUCGUACUAGAGUGUCGGAGGGGUAAGUGGAAUUCCUAGUGUAGCGGUGAAAUGCGUAGAUAUUAGGAGGAACACCAGUGGCGAAGGCGGCUUACUGGACGAUAACUGACGCUGAGGCUCGAAAGC
rnacentral:rRNA from 1 species